AGAGUUUGAUCCUGGCUCAGGACGAACGCUGGCGGCGUGCUUAACACAUGCAAGUCGAGCGGAAAGGCCCUUCGGGGUACUCGAGCGGCGAACGGGUGAGUAACACGUGAGCAAUCUGCCCUUAGCUUCGGGAUAGCUCCGGGAAACCGGAAUUAAUACCGGAUAUGACUAUGACCGACAUCGGUCAUGGUGGAAAGUUUUUCGGCUAGGGAUGAGCUCGCGGCCUAUCAGCUAGUUGGUGGGGUAACGGCCUACCAAGGCGACGACGGGUAGCCGGCCUGAGAGGGCGACCGGCCACACUGGGACUGAGACACGGCCCAGACUCCUACGGGAGGCAGCAGUGGGGAAUAUUGCGCAAUGGGCGAAAGCCUGACGCAGCGACGCCGCGUGGGGGAUGAAGGCCUUCGGGUUGUAAACCCCUUUCAGCAGGGACGAAGCGAGAGUGACGGUACCUGCAGAAGAAGCGCCGGCUAACUACGUGCCAGCAGCCGCGGUAACACGUAGGGCGCAAGCGUUGUCCGGAAUUAUUGGGCGUAAAGAGCUCGUAGGCGGUCUGCCACGUCCGCUGUGAAAACCUAGGGCUUAACCCUGGGCUUGCAGUAGAUACGGGCAGACUAGAGGUAGGUAGGGGAGAAUGGAAUUCCCGGUGUAGCGGUGAAAUGCGCAGAUAUCGGGAGGAACACCGGUGGCGAAGGCGGUUCUCUGGGCCUUACCUGACGCUGAGGAGCGAAAGCGUGGGGAGCAAACAGGAUUAGAUACCCCGGUAGUCC
rnacentral:rRNA from 1 species